ensembl:lncRNA
CUUGACCUCCCAUUCAGAUUUAAUUUCCUAACUGCCAUUUGUGGGGCUAGGGAUAGAGGGCCCGGAAGGGGGCACUGUCACCAGUUGCUGCUGCUUUUCUGCAGCCACUGACGUGAAGGGACCACAUCCUGCUUCAUGUCAGCGACUCCUGCCCCUUGGUCUUCAGUUUUUUCUCUUCCCAGGAGGGACUUUGAUCAUGCGGGAUAGAAUUCUCCCAUCGCACACUUGGAGGCAAGUUUUAGAUGAGCUUCUUUCCUCCAUUUCACCUGGUGGUCUGUGGACACACAGAGGGUGGGGGUGAGCAGGCAGUGUGGGUGGGGAGGGGCUCCUGAUGCUACCUCCCCCAGAUCCCUUACAAACUCUGUACCUCUCGGUGCGUGGCAGCCUCUUGCUGUAGUUCUUCUUUUCUGGAUAUGACUGUCAGUUUCGUCAUGAGAUUUCUUGCUCUCAUUUCGAACUCUUUCUUUCUUCCACUUUCUUUGGGGGUGACCCCCGAUCCAUGCCAGGUCUUCCUGUGAAGACAACUCCAACCUCGUUUCCAUUUCUUGAAUGUUGAGUAUUACAACAUCACUGCGCUAGGGUGCUUCAUGGUGCUGUUCUCGAAGAGGCCAGUUGGGCUGAAUCUCCCUCCUCCCACUGGCUCCUGAUAUCUUGCUGUAUUUUGUCUUCUUUCUGAUUUUUCCCUUGGGGUUUGGGGUGGGUGACUUAGGGGCGGCUUUUGUGUUCUCCCUCUCUCUCUCUUUUCUGUAUGUAUGUAUGGACUGGCUAAAGUGAGUUUGGGCAGCUGACUUUAUGGUAUGGGUUGGCUGACUUUUGUUCAAUAUUAAAGACAAACCAACAAAUUGUACAGCUGCACACAGAACACCCUCGAGUGUGAACUUGAAUGGCAACUAGAGGCUUACUUUUUGAACUUCAGGUAUGUAACUCAAAAGUAAAUAAAAACACUAUUUUUUCAGUAAGCUUUUUUUUUUUCUUCUAAAAGAUGACUUAGAAAUCAAACUAUAAGAACAUGAAAUCGGUGCUGUACCAAAGCCUUAUAUGAACAUAUUCUACACUCUGUAUAACCUGUGAGGAGCUCCCUGCUCUAUCACCCUCUUCUCAAAAGCCUGGGAAUGCCAGCGCGUGCCAAGCCUGGGGCUGGGUCUUGGGGACCUGUGGGCCAAGGGUACCCUGGGAAGCAAAAGAUGAUGGUGAGAAUGGGACACCCUUCUGCUGCCUGAGCAGACUGCAAGGAAACCCGAUGUGUGUGUGUGUGUAUGUGAUGGUGAGGAUGGGACACCCUUCUGCCUGAGCGGACUGCAAGGAAACCCGAUGUGUGUGUGUGUGUGGGUGUGUGUGCACGCGUGCACGCGUACCUGCAUAUAUGUGUGCGUACCUGUGUGUGUGCGUGCGUGUACCUGCAUAUAUGUGUGUGUGUACCUGUGUGUGCAUGUGUGUGUGCACGCGAGAGAGUGAGAGCGAGAGAGCUCACAGGUGAUCAAUGCCAAAGUGAAUGCACUAAGUACGAGCUUGAAGGGAGACCCGGUUGGCUCUGGGAGCGGGGCGGUGUAGGAAUGAAGGGGGACGCUCUCUCCCGUUUCCUCCCUCCUUCCCUUCUUCUCCAUCAGGGAGGGGAGGUGUGUUGGAAACAGCUACACUCUCAAUCAGGUGCUUUUUUUUCCCUCAAAAUCUCCAAACUCAAAGCACUUAUAAAGGGCCCUUCCUAGGGGCAGGCACCCCCAGCCACCAAAUCACAGAUUUCCAAGAGUGGGAGGAGCUUUCCUCUCUCCAACCAUUCCUUGGUUUCCUGGGGAAGAGGGUUCUUCCUGCAGGGCCCCUGGGCAUCCUGCUCCUGGGCCUGGGCCUAUAGACUGCCCUGCCCCUUCUUCCCAAACCACUGAGAAGACCCCACUGGAGAUGACCCCAAAGCCACGCCUGCUCCACAGCCCUAAGCAAUAAUGCCUGCCCUGGCUACUGAUGACGGUGAUCCCUUUGGCCUUUGACUUGCCAGUUAAAAAUGGAGUGACACCCCAGACUCAAUUAGGAAGAGAACCUGCAGCCUGCCUCAGCUCAGGCUACCACGCCAGGCUCCACUCGCUGGUAUUUUCAGGCUUGCUAAGUACUAACCAACUCAUCCCCAGUAACACUGCAUGUUCAUAUCCUGAAUUAAAAAGCAAAAUGAGCAAACAAGUGCAUAAGCAAACGAGAAAAAAGAAGGCACAUCAAAUGACGAGAUGUGCAGCCAGUGAAGGUACCCCGGGAGUGUUGCAAGUUAAACGGAUGGAAAGAUGUUUAGUAUUUAAUUGCUCCUCAUGUAACAUUACUCUGCUUCAGAAAUGUUUUGUAUUUUGAUAUAAAUAAACAUUUGCUAAAAAAAA